rnacentral:rRNA from 1 species
GAGGAAAAGAAACUAACAAGGAUUCCCCUAGUAACUGCGAGUGAAGCGGGAAAAGCUCAAAUUUAAAAUCUGGCGGUCUUCGGCCGUCCGAGUUGUAGUCUGGAGAAGUGCUUUCCGCGCUGGACCGUGUAUAAGUCUCUUGGAACAGAGCGUCAUAGAGGGUGAGAAUCCCGUCUUUGACACGGACUACCAGUGCUUUGUGAUGCGCUCUCAAAGAGUCGAGUUGUUUGGGAAUGCAGCUCAAAAUGGGUGGUGAAUUCCAUCUAAAGCUAAAUAUUGGCGAGAGACCGAUAGCGAACAAGUACCGUGAGGGAAAGAUGAAAAGCACUUUGGAAAGAGAGUUAAACAGUACGUGAAAUUGCUGAAAGGGAAACGCUUGAAGUCAGUCGCGUCGUCCGGAACUCAGCCUUGCUUYCGCUUGGUGCACUUUCCGGAUGACGGGUCAGCAUCGAUUUUGACCGUCGGAAAAGGGCUGGAGUAAUGUGGCACCUCCGGGUGUGUUAUAGACUCUAGUCGCAUACGGCGGUUGGGAUCGAGGAACGCAGCGCGCCGCAAGGCAGGGGUUCGCCCACUUUCGCGCUUAGGAUGCUGGCAUAAUGGCUUUAAACGACCCGUCU